rnacentral:tRNA from 1 species
GCACUAGUAGCUCAGUCUCAGAGCGUCGGUUUUGUAAUCCGAAGGCCGGAGGUUAAAUUCCUCCCUACUGCU